GACGAACGCUGGCGGCGUGCUUAACACAUGCAAGUCGAACGGAAAGGCCCUGCUUUUGUGGGGUGCUCGAGUGGCGAACGGGUGAGUAACACGUGAGUAACCUGCCCUUGACUUUGGGAUAACUUCAGGAAACUGAGGCUAAUACCGGAUAGGAGCUCCUGCUGCAUGGUGGGGGUUGGAAAGUUUCGGCGGUUGGGGUUGGACUCGCGGCUUAUCAGCUUGUUGGUGGGGUAGUGGCUUACCAAGGCUUUGACGGGUAGCCGGCCUGAGAGGGUGACCGGCCACAGUGGGACUGAGAUACGGCCCAGACUCCUACGGGAGGCAGCAGUGGGGAAUAUUGCACGAUGGGCGGAAGCCUGAUGCAGCAACGCCGCGUGCGGGAUGACGGCCUUCGGGUUGUAAACCGCUUUCGCCUGUGACGAAGCGUGAGUGACGGUAAUGGGUAAAGAAGCACCGGCUAACUACGUG
rnacentral:rRNA from 1 species